rfam:Streptomyces autolyticus strain CGMCC0516, complete genome.
CUUCACCGAACCGAGCCACAAGGGACGCUCGGGUUCCCGCUCCUGGCCGUACGUCGCCAGCAGCGCCUGCGCCUC